rnacentral:lncRNA from 1 species
GGGGCGGGGAGGGGGCGGGGAGGGGGCGGUGCGGGGAGAAGAGAGGGAGGAAAGUAGAUCUGUAGGACUUGAGUGAGGAAAAAGUUUGCAACUCUGAACAGACUGGAAAGCCGACUGGCACAAUUGGAACAUCCGCUGACCCUCUCUGGCUCAAGCCUUCUCCCAAUAAAUCCUCAAGAUUAUGUCAAUCGGUCAGAGUCAGCCAGGGAUUUCGUGCUGGUGCUGAAGGAGCUGCAGGAGCCGGGGAAGAAUGAAACUGCGUGGAGUCAGCCUGGCUGUCGGCUUGUUCUUACUGGCCCUGAGUGUUUGGGGGCAGCCCGCAGAGGCUGCGGCUUGCUAUGGUUGUCCUCCAGGAUCAAAGUGUGACUGUAGUGGUGUAAAAGGAAAAAAGGUAAGAUCUGAGAUGGUCCUUUCCACACUUAGUAAAAUUAUUAAACUACUGAUUUUUUUUUUGCUUUUUUGUUUUUUAAUUUUUUGGUGCUGAGGACUGAAGCCAGGGCCUCAUGCUUGCUAGAAAUGCGUUGUACCACUGAGUUAAAUCCCCAGCCCCUAAACUGCUGAUUUUACAAACAUUUUAAAAACAGGGAUUCUAUCUCAACAAUUAAGUAUGUAAAAUGAAUUCUACUACAUUGAUUGUUUUA